GACGAACCGUGCGAACGUUGUUCGGAAUCACUGGGCUUAAAGGGUGCGUAGGCGGGCCGGCGAGUCAGGGGUGAAAUCCCGCGGCCCAACCGCGGCAGGGCCCCUGAUACUGCCGGCCUGGAGGGGGGUAGGGGCGCGCGGAACUUCCGGUGGAGCGGUGAAAUGCGUAGAUAUCGGAAGGAACACCGGUGGCGAAAGCGGCGCGCUGGACCCCCACUGACGCUGAGGCACGAAAGCCAGGGGAGCAAACGGG
rnacentral:rRNA from 1 species